AUUGAACGCUGGCGGUAGGCCUAACACAUGCAAGUCGAACGGCAGCACAGUAAUAGCUUGCUCUUACGGGUGGCGAGUGGCGGACGGGUGAUGAAUACAUCGGAAUCUACUUUUUCUUGGGGGAUAACGUAGGGAAACUUACGCUAAUACCGCAUACGACCUACGGGUGAAAGCAUCGGAUCUUCGGACCUUGCGCGAGUGAAUGUGCCGAUGUCGGAUUAGCUAGUUGGCGGGGUAAAGGCCCACCAAGGCGACGAUCCGUAGCUGGUCUGAGAGGAUGAUCAGUCACACUGGAACUGAGACACGGUCCAGACUCCUACGGGAGGCAGCAGUGGGGAAUAUUGGACAAUGGGCGCAAGCCUGAUCCAGCCAUACCGCGUGGGUGAAGAAGGCCUUCGGGUUGUAAAGCCCUUUUGUUGGGAAAGAAAAGCAGCAGGUUAAUACCCCGCUGUUCUGACGGUACCCAAAGAAUAAGCACCGGCUAACUUCGUG
rnacentral:rRNA from 1 species